UACGUAGGGUGCGAGCGUUGUCCGGAAUUACUGGGCGUAAAGAGCUCGUAGGUGGUUUGUCGCGUUGUUCGUGAAAACUCACAGCUUAACUGUGGGCGUGCGGGCGAUACGGGCAGACUGGAGGUAUGCAGGGGAGAACGGAAUUCCUGGUGUAGCGGUGAAAUGCGCAGAUAUCAGGAGGAACACCGGUGGCGAAGGCGGUUCUCUAGUACGGUACUGACGCUGAGACGCGAAAGCGUGGGGAGCGAACAGG
rnacentral:rRNA from 1 species